rnacentral:tRNA from 1 species
GGAAGCGUGGCAGAGUGGUCGAUUGCAACGGUCUUGAAAACCGUCGAUGGGCAACCAUCCGUGAGUUCGAAUCUCACCGCUUCCGCCA